GGGUUGUGAGGUUAAGCGACUAAGCGUACACGGUGGAUGCCCUGGCAGUCAGAGGCGAUGAAGGACGUGCUAAUCUGCGAUAAGCGUCGGUAAGGUGAUAUGAACCGUUAUAACCGGCGAUUUCCGAAUGGGGAAACCCAGUGUGAUUCGUCACACUAUCAUUAACUGAAUCCAUAGGUUAAUGAGGCGAACCGGGGGAACUGAAACAUCUAAGUACCCCGAGGAAAAGAAAUCAACCGAGAUUCCCCCAGUAGCGGCGAGCGAACGGGGAGCAGCCCAGAGCCUGAAUCAGUGUGUGUGUUAGUGGAAGCGUCUGGAAAGGCGUGCGAUACAGGGUGACAGCCCCGUACACAAAAAUGCACAUACUGUGAGCUCGAUGAGUAGGGCGGGACACGUGGUAUCCUGUCUGAAUAUGGGGGGACCAUCCUCCAAGGCUAAAUACUCCUGACUGACCGAUAGUGAACCAGUACCGUGAGGGAAAGGCGAAAAGAACCCC
rnacentral:rRNA from 1 species